rnacentral:rRNA from 1 species
GUGCCAGCAGCCGCGGUAAUACGGAGGAUGCAAGCGUUAUCCGGAUUCAUUGGGUUUAAAGGGUGCGUAGGCGGAUAUUUAAGUCAGUGGUGAAAUCUUGCGGCUCAACCGUAACAUUGCCAUUGAUACUGAAUGUCUUGAAUGCAGUUGAGGUAGGCGGAAUGUGUAAUGUAGCGGUGAAAUGCUUAGAUAUUACACAGAACACCGAUUGCGAAGGCAGCUUGCUAAACUGUGAUUGACGCUGAUGCACGAAAGCGUGGGGAUCAAACAGGAUUAGAUACCCUGGUAGUCCACGCUGUAAACGAUGAUCACUCGUUGUUUGCGAUACAUAGCAAGCGACUGAGCGAAAGCAUUAAGUGAUCCACCUGGGGAGUACGUUCGCAAGAAUGAAACUCAAAGGAAUUGACGGGGGCCCGCACAAGCGGAGGAACAUGUGGUUUAAUUCGAUGAUACGCGAGGAACCUUACCUGGGUUUAAAUGUAGGUUGCAUGAUUGGGAAACUGAUCUUUCCUUCGGGACUACUUACAAGGUGCUGCAUGGUUGUCGUCAGCUCGUGCCGUGAGGUGUCGGGUUAAGUCCCAUAACGAGCGCAACCCCUAUCGUUAGUUGCCAGCAAGUAAAGUUGGGGACUCUAGCGAGACUGCCGGUGUAAACCGUGAGGAAGGUGGGGAUGACGUCAAAUCAGCACGGCCCUUAUAUCCAGGGCUACACACGUGUUACAAUGGUCGGUACAAAGAGCAGCCACUUGGUGACAAGGCGCUUAAUCUCGAAAGCCGAUCUCAGUUCGGAUCGAAGUCUGCAACUCGACUUCGUGAAGUUGGAUUCGCUAGUAAUCGCGCAUCAGCCAUGGCGCGGUGAAUACGUUCCCGGGCCUUGUACACACCGCCCGUCAAGCCAUGGAAGCCGGGGGUACCUGAAGUCCGUAACCGCAAGGAGCGGCCUAAGGUAAAACUGGUGACUGGGGCUAAGUCGUAACAAGGUAACC